UCUUCCGUAUUUGCUACAAAU
rnacentral:piRNA from 1 species